AACGAACGCUGGCGGCAUGCCUAACACAUGCAAGUCGAACGAGACCUUCGGGUCUAGUGGCGCACGGGUGCGUAACGCGUGGGAACCUGCCCUUAGGUUCGGAAUAACUCCCCGAAAGGGGUGCUAAUACCGGUUAAUGUCUUCGGACCAAAGAUUUAUCGCCUUUGGAUGGGCCCGCGUUGGAUUAGCUAGUUGGUAGGGUAAAAGCCUGCCAAGGCGACGAUCCAUAGCUGGUCUGAGAGGAUGCUCAGCCACACUGGGACUGAGACACGGCCCAGACUCCUACGGGAGGCAGCAGUGGGGAAUAUUGGACAAUGGGCGAAAGCCUGAUCCAGCAAUGCCGCGUGAGUGAUGAAGGCCUUAGGGUUGUAAAGCUCUUUUACCCGGGAUGAUAAUGACGGUACCGGGAGAAUAAGCUCCGGCUAACUCCGUG
rnacentral:rRNA from 1 species